AGAGAAGAUUGUCUUAACUAUGGCGAGACUAUGAGAUCCACUCGCACCAACCUAUUAUGUGUGUUGGCUUGCCAAACAUUCCUUUCGAAUCGGUCACAACUUGCUGAGGAAGUGAUUCUAGAAGAAGCGAACUUGAAACUGCAGGAAGGACAA